GGGUAGCUCAGUGGUAGAGCAAUCGCCUGGUAAGCGAGAAACUCGGGUUCGAUUCCCAGUCC
rnacentral:tRNA from 1 species